GAUCUAGAGAUAAUUUCACAUUUUUGGAAAUGUUCAUUAAGUAACACUGGACCAAAGUUCCUGUUUAACUCCAAAAUCAAGAAUUAUAUGAACAUUUUGAGAGUGAAUAGAUAACACUUUGUAGAGUUAUCCUGAUGUAAUUAAAUAACAUACACUGAAAAAACGGUCCGAGAGGGGUUGCUCAAAUUGCAAAAACAAAUUUGACAACAAUAACAUCACUUUUUUACGUUUCUCUGUCCAGCAUGUUUAAAUCUUACAAACAUCGCUUGAUUGUGGCCGAUGUGAGACCUGCAUGUUUUAAUCAGGUUGAGGAAACAUGACUUUAUUAUAAUUUCUGGUGAGGCUCCUCCCUCUGGAAUUCUCCUCCCCAAAACUUUUGGAGGGAAAAUUCAAAUGUAACAGGACACAGGACAGUUAGAUGAGCAGAGGACACACAGUGUGGAGCAGGAGGAUUAUGAGAACUGAUCUGGAGGUAAGACUUUUCAAAGAUUUUAUUAUGUGCUUCUCCGGCCUAGAAUGUCGUCAUUGUUAAAACAUGUUUGUGGUGUUUUAUUUGAAAUUAGAGUUAAUGUAAGGACAGCUUGAAACAAAUUGUUUUUGACUGUCCAUCUACAAGAGUGUGACAGUUGUACUAAGAUUUGAAUGUGUUGCUUCCAGAGUCGUCUACAAAGAGUGACGUCCAGAGCUCUGCUGGAGCUGUGGGGAAGUUCAUGAAUGUUAUAGUUGAUGUUUCAGAAAAAAGGAAGAUGUUUGAGAACCAACAAAACACAGACCACAGAUGAACAAAGUGAUGUGGCAUUAGGAGACUUUAUACCAGAUGCCCUCCCUGUUACUGUGUUUAGAGGAAGAAAAGCAGCACAUGGCAGAGACCAGAGCGUCUUCACUGGAAUAAAUCUUCACACUGUCCAGCUCCAAACUGUGUAUCUCUGUCCCUGUGCUCUCUUUGUGUUUGAUUCUGUUUAAGACAAUACAGAUCUGUAGAAAACUAAAGACUGUUUUUGUAUUCUUUUACAGAAUUAGAUCAAUUAAAUUAAAUUAUACAUACUUAUACAUUUCAUGAUAAGGUACCAUAAGAUAAAUAUGCAUAUUCAGCAUGAUUUGUUCAAAUUUCAUCAACAUGAAAAAGUGAUGUUCAUGUUCCGAGAAAAAUAUGU